UGCAUCUGUGUGCACGUGUGUGUGGGUGUGCAUGUGUAGUAUAUAUGUAUGGGUGCAUGUGUGCAUGCAUCUCUGUACAUGAGUGUGUGUGCGUGCAGUGAGUGUGUAUGUG
rnacentral:miRNA from 1 species